CUACGGGUCGCACCAGUGGGGAAUAUUGCACAAUGGAGGAAACUCUGAUGCAGCAACGCCGCGUGGAGGAUGACACUUUUCGGAGCGUAAACUCCUUUUAUAUAGGAAGAAGAUGACGGUACUAUAUGAAUAAGCGCCGGCUAACUCCGUGCCAGCAGCCGCGGUAAUACGGAGGGCGCAAGCGUUACUCGGAAUCACUGGGCGUAAAGAGCGUGUAGGCGGAUUAAAAAGUCAGAAGUGAAAUCCUAUAGCUUAACUAUAGAACUGCUUCUGAAACUCUUAAUCUAGAAUAUGGGAGAGGUAGAUGGAAUUUCUGGUGUAGGGGUAAAAUCCGUAGAGAUCAGAAGGAAUACCGAUUGCGAAGGCGAUCUACUAGAACAUUACUGACGCUAAGGCGUGAAAGCGUGGGGAGCAAACAGGAUUAGAUACCCGGGUAGUC
rnacentral:rRNA from 1 species